CAGGUGGUCAGGUAGAGAAUACCAAGGCGCUUGAGAGAACUCGGGUGAAGGAACUAGGCAAAAUGGUGCCGUAACUUCGGGAGAAGGCACGCUGAUAUGUAGGUGAAGUGAUUUACUCAUGGAGCUGAAAUCAGUCGAAGAUACCAGCUGGCUGCAACUGUUUAUUAAAAACACAGCACUGUGCAAACACGAAAGUGGACGUAUACGGUGUGACGCCUGCCCGGUGCCGGAAGGUUAAUUGAUGGGGUUAUCCGUAAGGAGAAGCUCUUGAUCGAAGCCCCGGUAAACGGCGGCCGUAACUAUAACGGUCCUAAGGUAGCGAAAUUCCUUGUCGGGUAAGUUCCGACCUGCACGAAUGGCGUAAUGAUGGCCAGGCUGUCUCCACCCGAGACUCAGUGAAAUUGAACUCGCUGUGAAGAUGCAGUGUACCCGCGGCAAGACGGAAAGACCCCGUGAACCUUUACUAUAGCUUGACACUGAACACUGGUCCUUGAUGUGUAGGAUAGGUGGGAGGCUUUGAAGUGUGGACGCCAGUCUGCAUGGAGCCAACCUUGAAAUACCACCCUUUAAUGGCUGGUGUUCUAACGUAGACCCGUGAUCCGGGUUGCGGACAGUGUCUGGUGGGUAGUUUGACUGGGGCGGUCUCCUCCUAAAGAGUAACGGAGGAGCACGAAGGUUAGCUAAUCCUGGUCGGACAUCAGGAGGUUAGUGCAAAGGCAUAAGCUAGCUUGACUGCGAGAGUGACGGCUCGAGCAGGUGCGAAAGCAGGUCUUAGUGAUCCGGUGGUUCUGAAUGGAAGGGCCAUCGCUCAACGGAUAAAAGGUACUCCGGGGAUAACAGGCUGAUACCGCCCAAGAGUUCAUAUCGACGGCGGUGUUUGGCACCUCGAUGUCGGCUCAUCACAUCCUGGGGCUGAAGUAGGUCCCAAGGGUAUGGCUGUUCGCCAUUUAAAGUGGUACGCGAGCUGGGUUUAGAACGUCGUGAGACAGUUCGGUCCCUAUCUGCCGUGGGCGCUGGAGAAUUGAGGGGGGCUGCUCCUAGUACGAGAGGACCGGAGUGGACGCAUCACUGGUGUUCGGGUUGUCAUGCCAAUGGCAUUGCCCGGUAGCUAAAUGCGGAAGAGAUAAGUGCUGAAAGCAUCUAAGCACGAAACUUGCCCCGA
rnacentral:rRNA from 1 species